rnacentral:lncRNA from 1 species
GUGGUAGGCAUGUGGGUAAGGGUGGUAGGCAUGUGGGUAAGGGUGGUAGGCAUGUGGGUAAGGGUGGUAGGCAUGUGGGUAAGGGUGGUAGGCAUGUGGGUAAGGGUGGUAGGCAUGUGGGUAAGGGUGGUAGGCAUGUGGGUAAGGGUGGUAGGCAUGUGGGUAAGGGUGGUAGGCAUGUGGGUAAAGGUGGUAGGCAUGUGGGUAAGGGUGGUAGGCAUGUGGGUAAGGGUGGUAGGCAUGUGGGUAAGGGUGGUAGGCAUGUGGGUAAGGGUGGUAGGCAUGUGGGUAAGGGUGGUAGGCAUGUGGGUAAGGGUGGUAGGCAUGUGGGUUAACGUGGUAGGUAUGUGGGUAAGGGUGGUAGGUAUGUGGGUAAGGGUGGUAAGCGUGUGGGUAAGGGUGGUACGGAUGGUUACAGGUGUUGUUAUUCAUUACGUACGUUAGUGGAUAACUUCAGCUGGUCUGUCUGCCUGUAGCGUGCAGAGGGAGGCACAGUGUGCUCGUCGGUGUGUGUGUAGGCCGGGUUAGUGAUGGAAACCAGGCUGGUGAGGCGUGGGUGGU